AAAAUCCGUUGAAUUUAAAAAUCGUGAGGGUUCAAGUCCCUCUAUCCCCA
rnacentral:tRNA from 1 species